rnacentral:rRNA from 1 species
AUGGACCUUCCUAACCAAGCUAGAAAGGAUUCCCAGGGGAUAUGUUUUCUUGGAAAGGUCAAAUUUAGAGAAUUUGUUCAAAGACAUAUAGGAGAAAUGGAGGGUAUGCUUCUUGAGGCAGAAACUGGAGAUUACCUAGGGACACACCGUGGGUUUUGGUUCUAUACGAUUGGUCAGCGACAAGGUUUGCGACUUUCUGGAGGACUUUGGUAUGUUGUGGAGAAAGAUGUGCAAAAUAAUGUGGUUUUUGUAUCAAGGAAUUACUAUUCAUUGGAUAAGAGGAGGCGGACAUUUCGUGUUGGAUCACUAAACUGGUUUAGUGAUUCUGGGCCAUCAGACAAUGAACGCCUUAAAUGCAAGGUACGGCAUAGUCCCGAUUUCCAUGAUUGCACCGUGGCAAAAGAGCAAACCGAAGAGAAGGGAGACGUUUUGGAGGUUCGUCUGUCCAAAGACGACCAGGGUUUAGCAGCUGGCCAGUUUGCAACGUUCUACCGUGACAAUGCGUGCCUGGGGUCAGACAUAAUCCUGGAUUCCUAUGACGAAAUGAGCUUCCCUGUGUCUGCAAAGGCGCUGGAAACUGCUAGGAUGGAGGAUAAGUCCAAGCUGGGGAAGCCCAUAUAA